rnacentral:rRNA from 1 species
GAUGAACGCUAGCGGCAGGCCUAACACAUGCAAGUCGAGGGGCAUCGCGGUGCAGCAAUGCACUGGCGGCGACCGGCGUACGGGUGCGUAACGCGUAUGCAACCUGCCCCGCACCGGGGGAUAGCCCGCCGAAAGGCGGAUUAAUACCCCAUGGUCCCGGGGGCCCGCAUGGGCAUCCGGGUAAAGCCUUGGCGGUGCGGGAUGGGCAUGCGUGCCAUUAGCUGGCUGGUGGGGUAACGGCCCACCAGGGCAACGAUGGCUAGGGGGUCUGAGAGGACGAUCCCCCACACUGGUACUGAGACACGGACCAGACUCCUACGGGAGGCAGCAGUGAGGAAUAUUGGUCAAUGGGCGGAAGCCUGAACCAGCCAUGCCGCGUGCAGGAUGACGGCCCCUGGGUCGGUUAACGUAGUCGUUUCCCCGGGUUCCCGGGAACUAACCCCUACCCGCGCGGGGAAGGGUGCGGUACCGGGGAACGGAAGGUAAGUCGGUCGUAACUACCGUCGCCGACGCACGCCGCCGGUAACCGUAACGUCGUACGUACGUCGUA